rnacentral:rRNA from 1 species
UACGAAGGGGGCUAGCGUUGUUCGGAUUUACUGGGCGUAAAGAGCGCGCAGGCGGUCGUUCAAGUCGCGUGUGAAAGCCCCCGGCUCAACUGGGGAGGGUCACGCGAUACUGAUCGACUCGAAGGCAGGAGAGGGUAGUGGAAUUCCCGGUGUAGUGGUGAAAUGCGUAGAUAUCGGGAGGAAGACCAGUGGCGAAGGCGGGUCUCUGGACAGUUCCUGACACUGAGGCACGAAGGCUAGGGGAGCGAACGGG